AAUGGGCGAAAGCCUGACGGAGCAAUGCCGCGUGAGUGACGAAGGCCUUCGGGUUGUAAAGCUCUGUCUUCAGGGACGAAACAAAUGACGGUACCUGAGGAGGAAGCCACGGCUAACUACGUGCCAGCAGCCGCGGUAAUACGUAGGUGGCAAGCGUUGUCCGGAAUGACUGGGCGUAAAGGGCGUGUAGGUGGAUUGAUCAGUCGGAUGUGAAAUACCUGGGCUUAACCUGGGAACUGCAUUCGAUACGGUCAGUCUUGAGUGCAGGAGAGGGCAGUGGAAUUCCCAGUGUAGCGGUGAAAUGCGUAGAGAUUGGGAGGAACACCAGUGGCGAAGGCGGCUGCCUGGACUGUAACUGACACUGAGGCGCGAAAGCGUGGGGAGCAAA
rnacentral:rRNA from 1 species